GACGAACGCUGGCGGCGUGCCUAAUACAUGCAAGUCGAACGGUCUUUUCUAUGGAAGCUUGCUUCCACUGAGAAGAUAGUGGCGAACGGGUGAGUAACACGUGGGUAACCUGCCCAUAAGAGGGGGAUAACAUCCGGAAACGGGUGCUAAUACCGCAUAGUUUUCUUGAUUGCAUGAUCGAGAAAGGAAAGACGGCCUUUGUGCUGUCGCUUAUGGAUGGACCCGCGGCGUAUUAGUUAGUUGGUGAGGUAACGGCUCACCAAGACGAUGAUACGUAGCCGACCUGAGAGGGUGAUCGGCCAAAUUGGGACUGAGACACGGCCCAAACUCCUACGGGAGGCAGCAGUAGGGAAUCUUCCGCAAUGGACGAAAGUCUGACGGAGCAACGCCGCGUGAGUGAAGAAGGUUUUCGGAUCGUAAAACUCUGUUGUCAGAGAAGAACAAGUUGGAGAGUAACUGCUCCAGCCUUGACGGUAUCUGACCAGAAAGCCACGGCUAACUACAUGCCAGCCGCCGCAGUAAAAC
rnacentral:rRNA from 1 species